AAUGGCCUUAGUGUCAAACACCACGGGCUGUCUGAAGGUAGCGGUGUAUGUGUACUACCCGUUCAUAUUUUUGUCACAGGACGACCCGCCUUAUCAAGUCACAGGAUCCAUGACAGAAGUGCUGAACAUCCUCGCACAGACUCUCAACUUCUGCUUCGAGUACGUGGUGCCAGAUGACAGGCAGUUCGGGCGGGAGGAUGCCAAUGGGUCCUGGACGGGGAUGAUCGGCCUUCUGACGCGAAAUGUAAGUCCGGGAUAACACAAACUACUCACAACUGCAUACAUUCUGAAACCAAACGGAUAAACGCAAUUCUUUCUGUAUGUACUCGAGUGAUAUGAAUGUCA